GAGUUUGAUGAUGGCUCUGAUUGAACGCUGUCCAAAUGCUUGACACAUGCUAAUCGUACGACAAAUCUCAAUUAAUUAAUUGUAGUUUGUAGUGGUGAACAGGUGAGUAAAUGAUAAUUAAACUACCUUUUAGCAAGGUAUUAAAAUACCUUAUAACCAAAGAAUGUGAAUUCGCUUUAAGAUGUUUUCUUUUUUAUCUCGGAAAAGUAGUAGGUAAAGGUGGUAUUUACUUAGCAUGAAUUCCGUAGUCGAAACUGAGAGGUUGAUCGACCACAUUGGGUCUGAAAAAACCCCAAUACGUAUAGUACAGCAGUGAGGGAUAUUGGUCAAUAGUCUAACGGCUGAACCAGCAAUUUGGAGGAACGUAAGGGAAAAAAGUGUGUUACAAAUACAUUUUUUUCUAGUGGUUUAUCCGCAUAAAGUUCUAGAUAAAGACUGAUAAUGACAAUCUUUCAUCUAUAAGUCUUGACAAAAUCACGUGCCAGCAGUCGCGGUAAUACGGGAAAGACGAGUGUUAUUCAUCUUUAAUGGGUUUAAAGGGUACCUAGACAGCUUAUUCAACUCGAAAGGGUAGUCAUAAGCUAGAGUUUGAUGUAAGAGGAAUGUCAGUACUAACGGUGUAGAGAUAAAAUUCUGUAAUACUGUAGGGCACUGGUAACGGCGAAGGCAAACCUUUAUGUAAAAACUGACGUUGAGGGACGAAGGCUUGGGUAGCAAACAGGAUUAGAUACCCUAAUAGUCCAGGCAGAAAAUGAUGAGUGCCAUAGGUUAGAUAUAUUUUGAUCUAUAAAUGAAAGUGUAAGCAUUCCACCUCAAGAGUAAUGUGGCAACGCAGGAACUGAAAUCAUUAGACCGUUUCUGAAACCAGUAGUGAAGUAUGUUGUUUAAUUCGAUGAUCCGCGAAUAAUCUUACCACAGUUUGUAUAUUAUAUUAAUUUGUAUUUUGAUAUUAAAACAUAAUAAUUAGAAAUAUAAAUUGCCUUUAAUACAGGUGCUGCAUGGCUGUCUUUAGUUAAUGUCGUGAGACGUAGGUUAGAUCCAGAAAUUAACGUAAACCCUUGCAUCAUUUGUAAAUGAUGUAGUUCCCCGCUAUAUUGGAAAGACAAAAGGGAUCAAGACAAGUACUCAUGGUCCUAAUACUGUGGGCUAUAGACGUGCCACAUUUGCCUAAUACAAAAAGAUGCAAAGAUGCAAAUAGCAAGCUAAUCUUUAAAAUAGGUAAUAAAAUGGAUUGUAGUCUGAAAUUCGACUGCAUGAAUAAGGAAUUACUAGUAAUCGUGAAUCACCACGUCACGGUGAAUGCUAUCUCAGAUAGGUACUAACCACUCGUCAAGCGCUGAAAGGAGUAUGUGCAAUAAGUUUGGUUACUGCUGGUUUGUAAAAGAGAAGAGAUCUCUACAUAUUGGUAAAUGAUCUUCGUAUGCAUGAUUCUGAUUGGUGUUAAGUCGAAAUACGGUUCGUGUAGUGGAAAUUGC
rnacentral:rRNA from 1 species